GACCGGACAAGGAGUGCGUUGUGGGAGCCUGGGGAGCCUGGGGAGCGUUGUGGGGGUCGAGAAGACAAUUAUGGGGGGACUGCAAGGGGCUUGUGGGGAGACUGGGAGGGUUGAGCGGGCAAUCUGGAUGGGGUCGGGACAGGGAUGAGGUUGCCAGGAAAGGAAGGGGUUAUGGGGACAGGGAGUUAAGGGACACGGCACAGGUGGAGGGUAUUGGCGGCAGCAAGGGGCCGUGGCAAGGCAGUGGGCGUUAAGGGCAUUAGGGAGAGAGUUAAACGGUGCAGGAAGGAGGAGAUGGGGCAGCGAGGGGGUUGCGGGUUCUGGGGAGCGUCAUCCCUGGAGUCGGUGUGACCCCUGCUGGUGGGCCAGGCUCUGCUUCCUUCUUGGGGUCACUUCAGCCCAUGGCAUUCCUCCUCAGCUGUCCCUCUCCCCCGUGCUGUCUGCAGGCCGGUCUCUGCUGGUCGCGGUGCUGCCUGCCCGAAGCGUAUAGCCGCAGCCCCCUGGGCCCUGCAGGCCUUGUGAGGCCACCGAUGGUGUCCCUGCCGCUGCCCGUGGACCCUCCAGUGGAGGACUUCCUGCCGCUGUCCAUCGUGUCCCUGCUCUGCUGUUUCCCCUUUGGGAUUCUGGCCCUCAUUUUCUCCAUCAGGGUUUCUUCUCCCUAAGGAGACGCCCUCUGGCUUCCCUUCAGCUGACCCCAACCAAGGGCCCCUCUCUGCCCUGGCUCCGUCCAUCUGCACCCCGUCUUGGGGACACUCCCGCCGACCUGCCUCCCCCGCCCUCACAGACCCAGGACGGCAACACCUGUGGAGACAGAACCAGGGCAGAGAGGAAUUCCAGCAUGGCCUUGGCCAUGGGCAUGGCGAGUGUCGUCCUGGGGCUGCUGUUUAUCUUCUUCACGUCCUCCAUCCAGUUGGCCUGGUGACGGAUGCCCCCACGGUCCAGGAGACCCCCCAGGGUGACCUGGCCCCUCCCCGCUCAGAGUGCCAGGGAUGGUGGUGGGGUUGCCUCUCUCCCCACAGCCUCUUUGGACUCAGAUGUUCACGGUGACUCUGUCCCUGGAACAGAAUCUCCCCUCCCCUGGUAUUUUGGAGAACAAUAAAUUAUAGAGGACA